rnacentral:rRNA from 1 species
GUCCACGCCCUAAACGAUGUCAACUAGGUGUUGGGAGGGUAAAACCUUUUAGUACCGUAGCUAACGCGAGAAGUUGACCGCCUGGGGAGUACGGCCGCAAGGUUAAAACUCAAAGGAAUUGACGGGGACCCGCACAAGCGGUGGAUGAUGUGGAUUAAUUCGAUGCAACGCGAAAAAACCUUCCUACCCUUGAACAUGUUCAGGAGUCCGAAGAGAUUUGGAUGUGCUCGAAAGAGAACUGGAACACAGGUGCUGCAUGGCUGUCGU